AAGAAGGAAGAAAAUAAACAGAUAGAUACAACCCUCUUAAGUACGAAAUAGCCCGGCUAUGGAAAAUGGUAAAGGUGAAGACAGUGCCAAUUAUUAUGGGUCCUU